rfam:Salinivirga cyanobacteriivorans strain L21-Spi-D4 chromosome, complete genome.
AAAGAAGCGAGAAAAGAGCGCAUGGUGGAUGCCUAGGCUCUCAGAGGCGAAGAAGGACGUGAUAAGCUGCGAAAAGCUGUGGUGAGGUGCAAAUAACCUUUGAUCCGCAGAUCUCCGAAUGGGUCAACCCAUCCCGAUUUAUCGGGAUAUUCCUGAUAAAGGAAAGCUAACCCAGCGAACUGAAACAUCUAAGUAGCUGGAGGAAGAGAAAACAAUAGUGAUUUCCCAAGUAGUGGCGAGCGAACGGGAAACAGCCCAAACCAUUUAUGUUUCGGCAUAGAUGGGGUUGAAGGACUGCAACAAAGAGAUAUAACUUAAGUAGAACGUUUUGGAAAGAACGACCGCAGAGUGUGAAAGUCACGUACACGUUCAGUUAUAUUUUUUAGCAGUAUCCUGAGUAUGUCGGGACACGAGGAACCCUGACAGAAUUCGCCGGGACCAUCCGGUAAGGCUAAAUACUACUGAGAGACCGAUAGUGAACCAGUACUGUGAAGGAAAGGUGAAAAGCACUUCGAACAGAAGAGUGAAAUAGAACCUGAAACCGUGCGCUUACAAGCGGUCGGAGUCCCGAUUUAUCGGGAUGACGGCGUGCCUUUUGCAUAAUGAGCCUACGAGUUGUCGAUAUUAGCAAGGUUAAGGAAUUAAGUUCUGCAACCGAAGCGAAAGCGAGUCUGAAUAGGGCGUUAUAGUUGAUGUCGGCAGACGCGAAACCAGCGUGAUCUAUCCUUGAUCAGGUUGAAGUGACGGUAAUACGUCAUGGAGGACCGCACCAGGAAGCGUUGAAAAGCUUUUGGAUGAAUUGAGGAUAGGGGUGAAAGGCCAAUCAAACCUGGAAAUAUCUCGUACUCCCCGAAAUGCAUUUAGGUGCAGCCAUAUUCGAGUGUAAUUGAGGUAGAGCUACUGAUAAGGCUAGGGGGCUUCACCGCCUACCAACCCUUGACAAACUCCGAAUGCUAUUACAUGUUGAAUAUGAGUGAGGCUAUGGGUGCUAAGGUCCAUAGCCUAAAGGGCAACAACCCGGACCAUCAGCUAAGGUCCCCAAGUAUAGUCUAAGUUGAACAAACGCGGUCUGAUAGCUAAGACAGCUAGGAUGUUGGCUUGGAAGCAGCCAUUCAUUUAACGAGUGCGUAACAGCUCACUAGUCGAGCCGUCGGGCAUGGAUGAUAAUCGGGCAUAAGACUAUCACCGAAGCUAUGGGAUUUACAAUUAAUUGUAGAUCGGUAGGGGAGCAUUCCAAACGUCGCAGAAGCUAAGCUGUAAGGCUUAGUGGAGAUUUUGGAAAAGCAAAUGUAGGCAUAAGUAACGAUAAAUACAGCGAGAAACUGUAUCGCCGCAAGACUAAGGAUUCCUGAUCAACGCUAAUCGGAUCAGGGUUAGUCGGGACCUAAGGAGCAGCCGAAGGGCGUAUCCGAUGGUAAACUGGUUAAUAUUCCAGUACUGUAUAUAAUUUCGAUGGGGUCACGUAGGAGUGACAGGUCCGCGUACUGACGGAAUAGUACGUUUAAGGGUGUAGGUAUAUAAGAUGUUAAUAGCAUAUUGUCACUGAACCUGAGAGUACCACAACGCUUCGGCAGCGUGGAUAGCGACCGUAACCAUACUACCGAGAAAAACCUCUAAGGGAAGGUUAUAUACACCCGUACCGUAAACCGACACAGGUAGUCGAGGAGAGUAUCCUCAGGCGCUCGGGAGAUUCAUGGCUAAGGAACUAGGCAAAAUAGACCUGUAACUUCGGGAUAAAGGUCUCCCGACAUUAGAUUGUCGGGACGCAGUGAAAAGACCCAAACGACUGUUUACCAAAAACACAGGGCUCUGCAAAAUCGAAAGAUUAAGUAUAGGGCCUGACACCUGCCCGGUGCCGGAAGGUUAAGAGGAGAUGUCAUCUUCGGAGAAGCAUUGAAUUGAAGCCCCGGUAAACGGCGGCCGUAACUAUAACGGUCCUAAGGUAGCGAAAUUCCUUGUCGGGUAAGUUCCGACCUGCACGAAUGGUGUAACGAUUUGGGUACUGUCUCAGCCAUGAGCCCGGUGAAAUUGAAGUAUCGGUGAAGAUGCCGGUUACCCGCAACGGGACGGAAAGACCCCGUGAACCUUUACUACAACUUAUCAUUGGUUUUGGCUAAGCGAUGUGUAGGAUAGGUCGGAGACAAUGAAGCAGCUUCGCCAGGAGUUGUGGAGUCAACCUUGAAAUACGACCCUUUGCUUAGUUGGAAUCUAAUCCGCCAGCUGGCGGAGACAUUGAUAGGCGGGUAGUUUGACUGGGGUGGUCGCCUCCAAAAGCGUAACGGAGGCUUUCAAAGGUUCCCUCAGCAUGAUUGGUAACCAUGCGAAGCGUGCAAUGGCAUAAGGGAGCUUGACUGCGAGACUGACAAGUCGACCAGGAACGAAAGUUGGACAUAGUGAUCCGGCGGUAGAAAAUGGAUUUGCCGUCGCUCAAAGGAUAAAAGGUACUCCGGGGAUAACAGGCUUAUCGCCCCCAAGAGCUCAUAUCGACGGGGCGGUUUGGCACCUCGAUGUCGGCUCGUCACAUCCUGGGGCUGGAGAAGGUCCCAAGGGUUGGGCUGUUCGCCCAUUAAAGUGGCACGCGAGCUGGGUUCAGAACGUCGUGAGACAGUUCGGUCCCUAUCUGUUGUGGGCGUAGGAAACUUGCGAGGGCCUGACACUAGUACGAGAGGACCGUGUUGGACGGACCACUGGUUUACCUGUUGUGGCGCCAGCUGCAUCGCAGGGUAGCUAAGUUCGGAAGAGAUAAGUGCUGAAAGCAUCUAAGCACGAAGCUCGCCUCAAGAUAAGGUUUCCAUUGAGGGUCGUUGGAGACUACGACGUUGAUAGGCUGCAGGUGUAAAGGCGGUAACGUCAAAGCCGAGCAGUACUAAUUACCCGAGAGCUUCUUUAA